AUUGAACGCUGGCGGCAGGCCUAACACAUGCAAGUCGAACGGUAACAGGAAGCAGCUUGCUGCUUUGCUGACGAGUGGCGGACGGGUGAGUAAUGUCUGGGAAACUGCCUGAUGGAGGGGGAUAACUACUGGAAACGGUAGCUAAUACCGCAUAACGUCGCAAGACCAAAGAGGGGGACCUUAGGGCCUCUUGCCAUCGGAUGUGCCCAGAUGGGAUUAGCUAGUAGGUGGGGUAACGGCUCACCUAGGCGACGAUCCCUAGCUGGUCUGAGAGGAUGACCAGCCACACUGGAACUGAGACACGGUCCAGACUCCUACGGGAGGCAGCAGUGGGGAAUAUUGCACAAUGGGCGCAAGCCUGAUGCAGCCAUGCCGCGUGUAUGAAGAAGGCCUUCGGGUUGUAGAGUACUUUCAGCGGGGAGGAAGGGAGUAAAGUUAAUACCUUUGCUCAUUGACGUUACCCGCAGAAGAAGCACCGGCUAACUCCGUG
rnacentral:rRNA from 1 species